GUCUCAGUGGCGUAGUGGUUAGCGUACGAGCCCCGGUUAGACGAGAGACCCGGGUUCGAAUCCCGCCUGAGAUG
rnacentral:tRNA from 1 species